UGGGGAAUUUUCCGCAAUGGGCGAAAGCCUGACGGAGCAAUACCGCGUGAGGGAGGAAUGCCUUUGGGUUGUAAACCUCUUUUCUCAGGGAAGAAGAUCUGACGGUACCUGAGGAAUAAGUAUCGGCUAACUCCGUGCCAGCAGCCGCGGUAAUACGGAGGAUGCAAGCGUUAUCCGGAAUCAUUGGGCGUAAAGCGUCCGCAGGUGGUUUCCAAAGUCUGCUGUUAAAGACUGGAGCUCAACUCCGGAACGGCGGUGGAAACUUGGAAACUAGAGUUCGGUAGGGGUAGCAGGAAUUCCCAGUGUAGCGGUGAAAUGCGUAGAUAUUGGGAAGAACAUCGGUGGCGAAGGCGUGCUACUGGACCGUAACUGACACUCAGGGACGAAAGCUAGGGGAGCGAAAGGGAUUAGAUACCCCUGUAGUCCUAGCUGUAAACGAUGGAAACUAGGUGUGGCUU
rnacentral:rRNA from 1 species